UACGUAGGGGGCAAGCGUUGUCCGGAAUCAUUGGGCGUAAAGAGCGUGUAGGCGGCCCGGUAAGUCCGCUGUGAAAGUCCAGGGCUCAACCCUGGGAUGCCGGUGGAUACUGUCAGGCUCGAGUCCGGAAGAGGCGAGUGGAAUUCCUGGUGUAGCGGUGAAAUGCGCAGAUAUCAGGAGGAACACCAAUGGCGAAGGCAGCUCGCUGGGACGUGACUGACGCUGAGACGCGAAAGCGUGGGGAGCAAACAGG
rnacentral:rRNA from 1 species